UACAGAGGUCCCAAGCGUUGUUCGGAUUUAUUGGGCGUAAAGGGUGCGUAGGCGGCGGAGUAAGUUGGGUGUGAAAUCCCGGGGCUCAACCUCGGAAUGGCAUUCAAUACUGCUUCGCUAGAGUACUGGAGAGGAGGCUGGAAUUUACGGUGUAGCAGUGAAAUGCGUAGAUAUCGUAAGGAAGGCCGGUGGCGAAAGCGAGCCUCUGGACAGUUACUGACGCUGAUGCACGAAGGCCAGGGGGAGCAAAACGGGG
rnacentral:rRNA from 1 species